rnacentral:rRNA from 1 species
AAUCAUAGAAGGUCCAGCCUGCCCAGUGACUUAGUUAAACGGCCGCGGUACCCUAACCGUGCGAAGGUAGCGCAAUCACUUGUUCUUUAAAUGAGGACUAGUAUGAACGGCAUCACGAGGGUUAUACUGUCUCCCUUUUCCAAUCAGUGAAACUGAUCUUCCCGUGAAGAAGCGGGAAUCACUAUAUAAGACGAGAAGACCCCAUGGAGCUUUAAACUCAGUAUCAGCUACCUUUUCAUACACCAUCUUAUCUAGGUAGACAUGACUACUAGUUUUCGGUUGGGGUGACCGCGGAGCAAAACAAAACCUCCACGAUGAAAGGAUCUCACAUCCUUAUCAUAGAGCUACAACUCAAAGAAUCAAAAAAUUGACAAAAAUUGAUCCAAGAAUUUCUUGAUCAACGAACCAAGUUACCCUGGGGAUAACAGCGCAAUCCAUUUCAAGAGCCCCUAUCGACAAAUGGGUUUACGACCUCGAUGUUGGAUCAGGGUAUCCCAGUGGUGCAGCCGCUACUAAAGGUUCGUUUGUUCAACGAUUAAAACCCUA